AAGAGUUGAAUUAAUAGAGAUACAGAUAACGUGAAACUGAAAGGAAAAUGGCACUCUCAGUCUCCUCACCCUCAUGCGUACGCGUUCCUUCAUGUUUUUGGAAACCAAAUGGCAAGAGUUGCAAAGAGCGUACUAAGGUGUCAUGUGCAGCUCACAAUGAUAAUAAGAAUCCGUUGGUUGGAAUCGGUAUUGGGGUUGUAACGUCUUGUGUGAUGGGUUUAACUGCAUUGGAUGCGGACGCCACGAGAAUCGAAUACUACGCAACAGUGGCAGAGCCUUUGUGUGAGUACAACUAUGUUAAGUCUGGCCUCGGCUACUGCGAUAUUGCUGAGGGCUUCGGUGACGAAGCUCCACUGGGUGAGCUUAUCAAUGUUCACUAUACUGCGAGAUUCGCUGAUGGGAUAGUAUUCGAUAGCAGCUAUAAACGUGCUAGACCUCUCACCAUGCGCAUUGGUGUGGGCAAGGUAAUCAAGGGACUGGAUCAGGGGAUUUUAGGGGGUGAAGGAGUACCUCCAAUGCGGAUAGGUGGGAAACGCAAACUGCAGAUUCCUCCGCACUUAGCAUAUGGCCCUGAACCUGCAGGGUGCUUCUCAGGUGACUGCAAUAUACCCGCCAAUGCCACUCUUCUGUAUGAUAUUAAUUUUGUUGAGGUUUAUUCGGGGAACAGAUCAAAGUGAAGUCAGUCAAAACUGGUCAGAUACAUAUAUACAUAUGAACCACAGAUGGAUGGGUUUAGAGCAAUGAAAUGGACAUUUUGCUUGAGAAUAUGGAUCAACUUGCUUGGCAGAAUCUUCUUCCUGAUUACAACUACCUCAAGUUACUGUUCCUGGUUAGUGGAGUUGUACAUGAUUGACCUGGAUAUCCCUUUUGAGAGUAAUGAGCAAUCCUUCCUGGUGAUAUAUUAAGAUAAUUCAUGUGUAUCUCUGCACAUGACAUGCGAACAGUUUGUGCAUCUUUAGUGUAAAUGUAAUUUCAAUACUGCUCUGAAUGAUAAAAAAUUGUUAAUUCUUCAUUUGAUAAAUGCCUGUCUCUAAUA